rnacentral:tRNA from 1 species
GCCGCCUUAGCUCAGCUGGUAGAGCACCUGAUUUGUAAUCAGGUUGUCGCCGGUUCGACCCCGGCAGGCGGCUCCA